rnacentral:lncRNA from 1 species
GUCCAGUGUGGUGACUGGGCUGAGUCAACCAGGUUCUCCCUCAGGAAUGUGAACUAAGACACACUGAAAGAAUGGAGCAGAUAACAGAAAUCUGAAGCUGAGGGAACGUUCUGGGGCAGAGGAGCAACCAUGAUGCCCCAUUCUCAGGGAAAAGUUAUGAGGCAGGAGGAAUUGGAAAAAAACAACAGAGACCCAGAAUAAAGCCCAGAGAGCAGAGAAUUGGGAAAAAAAAUGAGCUAGCUGGAAGAGAGAUACAGACACACCAAAGAGGAAUUUAUUUAGCUAUGUUUCACUCAGAAGAUCCUGUUGACAGCCCGGAUGCACACCGCUGGGCUCCACCAUCGGAGAGAUUGGAUGGAAGACCAGAGGCUGGGGGAGGAAGACGGGCCUGCUACUGUUCCUGUCUGCACUGCCCCGGGAAAAGCCUACAUCCUGGCACCAGCAGGUCAGUUCUGGUGACCUCAACCUCUCCCCUUCGUCUCCCAGCUCUAGAAGUCCCAGAUGCUUCCUGCAGUGACCAUCUUUAUGUGAAUCCUGUGUUACAUCAGUGUUCCCUUUUUGCUUUUCUGUGCUUCAACAGCUAUUUCAUCAAUUCC